rnacentral:rRNA from 1 species
UGGGGAAUAUUGCACAAUGGAGGGAACUCUGAUGCAGCGACGCCGCGUGAACGAAGAAGGCUUUCGAGUCGUAAAGUUCUUUUAUAUGGGAAGAUAAUGACGGUACCAUAAGAAAAAGCCCCGGCUAACUACGUGCCAGCAGCCGCGGUAAUACGUAGGGGGCUAGCGUUGUCCGGAAUCACUGGGCGUAAAGGGUUCGCAGGCGGAAAUGCAAGUCAGGUGUCAAAGCGUGGAGCUUAACUCCAUUAAGCACUUGAAACUGAAAGACUUGAGUGAAGGAGAGGAAAGUGGAAUUCCUAGUGUAGCGGUGAAAUGCGUAGAUAUUAGGAGGAAUACCGGUGGCGAAGGCGACUUUCUGGACGAAAACUGACGCUGAGGCGCGAAAGCGUGGGGAGCAAACAGG